UGCAUACGGAAACUGUCUCCAUUGUAAUA
rnacentral:sRNA from 1 species